UACAGAGGUCUCAAGCGUUGUUCGGAUUCAUUGGGCGUAAAGGGUGCGUAGGUGGCGUCGUAAGUCGGGUGUGAAAUCUCGGGGCUCAACCCCGAAACUGCACUUGAUACUGCGAUGCUUGAGUAGUGGAGAGGAGAGUGGAAUUUACGGUGUAGCAGUGAAAUGCGUAGAUAUCGUAAGGAAGACCAGUGGCGAAGGCGAAUCUCUGGACAAUGACUGACACUGAGGCACGAAGGCCAGGGGAGCAAACGGG
rnacentral:rRNA from 1 species